rnacentral:rRNA from 1 species
AUGAAGAGGCGAUUCUCCUCAGCAUCUUCUCAUCUGGCGACGAAGAGGCGACGCCGGGGCGCUCCUGCUCCGUCGCGACCCCCACGCCCUUCUGGUACUUCCAGGCAGCAUCAAGCCAUCAACUGCUUGCCAGUUGCCACCGCAAACACCUCCGGGCUACCGCUAGAACUCUUGCUCCCGCUGCGCCCUUGGGAAAUUUAUUUCCAACUGGCUUCCGAGGGCUCGCCAUGGGUAGCGGCGAAAUCUGUGGAGGAUCAAGUGGUGGGAAGCCCAGGCGGUGGCAGGCAUCUGACUGGAGGUCAGCACACCCAGCAGACGUGCAGAAGCAUUGGACGAGAGGAGAGGAGCGACCUUGACGGGGUCGCCCCGCUCCCACAGAAGCACAGGGACAUAUGGCUUAAUUUCACUGACAGUUACACGGCAAAAUGGGUUGUUUUGCUGAUGGAGUUCCAAACUUUUGAGGACAAGUCCAGUGCCAUUAAUCAGAACACUGGUGUCAGUGAAAGGCUUGCUGAGAUGAUCAGGGUGUGGCUCCCUGGGAAGAAAAUGGCAGUCGGAAAUCCUGAAUAUAAGGAAAUCAUUGAAGAGAGAUUGGAAAUAGAAUGCCUGUAUAAUGAACGGGUGAUGGAGGUAAUGUGGGGCAUACAGAAUUGCAUGCCAGGUUUGAUACCUAUAGAAAAAUCACAGCUGGCUAAAGAGGACCGCCUCCCGAGUAAGGGAUUGCAAGAAUUCUUGAAGCGUUAUGGCUGCAAUGUCAAACCAGAGAUGGUCAAUGAACAAAUUGUCGCGACGGCUUCCGCAUUGUCUGCGUGUGAUUAUGUUGAGAAGAAAUAUUCUCUAGUCUUGCGCGAAGCAGGUGCUGUCAUUAAGGAUGUGUCUGGCAUCAGCUGUGAGGGUUGGAGCUUACUGGACAUUGCAACAGCUCUGAAGAUGAUAUGGAAGCCUAAAAAAGUUGGCAAUUCUUCUCUGGUUUCAAAAGAUGAGGCACUAAGAUUGGUGAACGAUGCAUCUAAAUAUGAAGCUCUGGUGAAUAAGUAUCCUUUUUUUCGAGCCUACAAAGAAAUGUUGAAAGCUCAUGAUGAUAGGAUCUCGAAAGAAGAACUACUGAAAUCAUUGGUUGAGGGCCUGAAGAAACCAUAA